ensembl:lncRNA
AGUUUGAUCCCUAUUCAACUUAUUUAUAAAGUUUGCAGUUGUUUUUUUCCUAGAUAUAUUUUGUCGUUUGUAAUAUUUUUAUUUACGGAUAAACGUUCUAUAAGUGUUUAAGAAGGGACAAUCUUAUUACGUGUGUUUUAUCAUAGUUCAUCCAUUACUUUAUAGAUUGUUCUGAGCUCAUUACAAUGACACCGUAAGACAUUCAAGAAAACAGGAAGUUGGCGGGGUCAGGGGAGGUCCCCAACAAUCAUCACAGGCCCUUGGAAACCGUUCAUAUGUGCCUUAUGGGAGUAAUCUACCAUAGGAUUAAACAAGGUAUAGGCAUUAUCUCGUCUAUAUGAAUGAAAUAAGUUAGGAAAUAGCAGAAUCUACAAAGGACUUAAGUCUGAAUGACAGAGUUUGCAUCCUUAGUUAUAACCAUAUGCCGCCCCUGAGAUGAACCCAGCAUAGUCCGUCCCAAGUCUACCUUUAAUCCCUAACGUUGACACCACUCUACACAUGGCUCAUCCCAUCCGGACAGGAAGAGAGGGAGAGGGCUUCAUGAAGGCAGAAAAGGAGCACCUUCAUUCUUCUCAUUUAGUUUAGCUGGCCCCAAGUUGACCACUAAAACUGUAUCUCUCUACUGUAUAUCCAGCUGACCAAAUUUUCUCUCUCCACUUACAUGUACUGACUUAUAUGUUAAGGUUGACUAGUCAAUGUCACAGUCCAAGUUUAACAUUUUCUGCUUUAUGAAUGUAUUCCACAAUUAAAUACUGUGGUAUUGUUGUAUAUUAGUUGAACUUCUGCUAUAUUGUCUGAGUAGAAAUUAGUUUCAUUUUGCCCACAUCCCAGGCUUGUCUCAUACAAUGUUCAUAUGAUAUUGUACGAAAAGUUAUGGACAGUGUUUCGUAAGAUUCCUAUGAAUGUCAACACGAGUGAUCAGUGCACCCUAAGUUAGCAAGCCCCGAGGACUGCAGGAUCAUAAAACAUUAGUCUCAGCAUUAAAAUGCAUUUUGAUAACAUUUCUAGUGAGAAAUUGUGCCUUUAUUUUCACAAUCUUUGUUCAUGAUUGUAUAUGAGUUAGUUAGUGGAACUGCUCUUGGCACCUUUCAUGCUAAUUUGGGGUUAUAAGGGAGUUCAAUCGGGAUAGGCAUCUGUUUAAGAAAUUAUAUAUUUUUUUACACAGCACGUAUUUCAAACGUGUGAGCUACAUUUUUGUUUCCUGAUCCCCCCCCCCCCCAGUCACUGUAUGUAUCCAUAUGUGCUUGUUUUUACACUAUGUCCAUCAUUGCAUUUUCUGUAACAUGCAAUCUUAUAUCCUGCAUUUAAUAUGAACACGAACAUGUAAUAUAAACACAAUAUUCUGAAAACUGAAACUAUUGAUCCUGGAUUCCUUUGAUAGGAGUGGCGCGCUGUGAUGAGGUACAUUCAUGUACACAAUGUAAGCACCGUUCACAUUGCUCAUGAGUUUAUGAAUUCUGUUUAAAGGUAAUUCCCAAAUACAUUGAUGGGUUUCAAAGUUCAGCUGAAAAACAGCAUUGGCAGGGCCACUAUAGGCAGCCGCCAGGGGAGAAUGUAUUAUACGGUAUAGAAGUAGUACGUUUGGCCAAACAGUCUUCUCAGUACGGGCCUCAAAUUACUGGAAUUGCUUUCCUACUGAACUUAGAGAAAGCGUCAGCUUUCUAUCAUUUAAAACAAAACUUAAGAGAUGGAUUAAAAACCACCUCUCUCUCUCUGUUCCUUAUUAAUGUAAUGUGAUGGUGUGUUGACCUGCCAAGGGACUACAGAUGAAAAUAAGCUUUUUUGCUAACUCUGGCACAUUUACAUUUUGAGUAUAAACUAAAAAUGUCAAUUUAUUUGCAUUGUCCCUUUUAAAUAAACAAAUAAAUAAAUAAAA